rnacentral:rRNA from 1 species
UACGAAGGGGGCUAGCGUUGCUCGGAAUUACUGGGCGUAAAGCGCACGUAGGCGGCUCUUUAAGUCGGUGGUGAAAUCCUGGAGCUCAACUCCAGAACUGCCUUCGAUACUGGAGAGCUCGAGUCCGGGAGAGGUGAGUGGAACUGCGAGUGUAGAGGUGAAAUUCGUAGAUAUUCGCAAGAACACCAGUGGCGAAGGCGGCUCACUGGCCCGAUACCUGAC